GGGUUGUGAGGUUAAGCGACUAAGCGUACACGGUGGAUGCCCUGGCAGUCAGAGGCGAUGAAGGACGUGCUAAUCUGCGAUAAGCGUCGGUAAGGUGAUAUGAACCGUUAUAACCGGCGAUUUCCGAAUGGGGAAACCCAGUGUGAUUCGUCACACUAUCAUUAACUGAAUCCAUAGGUUAAUG
rnacentral:rRNA from 1 species